UCAUCAAUGCAGGUUUUAAUGGAAGAUAACAAAAAGACACAGAAGGCGGGUUCAAAGAGGAAAGUGGUUUUCACUUCCCUAAUAACGAAACUCACCUUUACACUCUAGGGUUCAAAGAGGAAAGUCAUUUUCAAAGCAAAUGAUUGCCAAAACCCAACUAGGAAGUGACAAAGGAAGCCCCCAAGAAACACAACCAUUAAUUUCCAUGAAAGGACCACAACAACAAAAUAUUUAUAAAGUCAAACAAAAUGGUUCUCCUUCAGUGAAAGAGAAAAUUUCUCACCUAUCACAAUUCACCUACAGUAAAAAUAUUGAAAAGGAAGGGAAUUUGAUUAUGGAUUUAAACAGCAAAGGGUUGAAGCUAAACUCAGGCAGCUCAAAGCUUCAAAAAUUCGAUAGAUUGUCUCUCUCCUAUCCCAGAUAUUAUUCUCCCUCAUCACUCUCAAGACAUGAUUCGUUAAAGCCUAUCAGAACACAAAAUUCAAAAACAGUUUAAAUCCAGCAAGCAAAAGGAAAGAAAACUAGACUAAGGGAUUGGUAAAAAAAGAACAAGCUCAAACUCUUGCCAGUGUUGUAAGAAAUUGACUCAUCAACAGAUGCAGAAGCAGAAACUGUGAAAUUAAUUGGAUCAUUUUUAUGAUGGCUCAAGCAACAAAAUUGCAGGAUCUUUUGUUUUGAAAUGUUAAGGGUUGGGCUCUCCCCAAAAAAAGAGCCCAAAUAAAAGCAGUAAUUUUAAAUUAUGAUCCUCAUGUUGUCAUUCUUACUUAAAAUAAACUCCAAAAUAUUAGCAUUCAUCUCAUCAAAUCUCUUUGGAGAAAAAAAAAAAAAAAAAACAAUUAAAUGGCAUUUGAGAGUUUCAUCUGUUAGUUCUGGAGGCAUUCUGGUUGUUUGGGAUGAUGUUCAACAUUCUUGUAUUCGUAACUUUGAAGGUUCUUUUACACUCUCCCUCAAUUUUUAAGGAAAAGUCAAAAUCCAUUGUAAAUCUUUAGGGAGAUGUGUGAAAUCUCAUAGGAGUUUGGUCUAAGUGUCAUUGGUACGACGCCUCCGUUCUUUCUCUUAACUUUAGAGCUUUGUUAGAUUAGGUUGUUCUAGACUUCACUCUAGCCUUCCAAGCUUGUAACUUUUCUCUUCAUUAAUAGAUUUGGCAUGCCUUUCUAGGGCUCUUCCUAGAUUGAUUUGACUUGAUUUCUUUAUAAAAAAGAAUUAAACGUUCAUUCUUAGAAAUUCUUUCUUUCUUUUUUUUACACAAAUUUAUGUUCUUUCAAAUUCUAAGCUAAAUGUUGAAAAUAAAAUAAAAUAUUAGAUUUAGAAUACAAAUUUAAAAAAUAAAAAAACCUUCACAACACCACUCACAUAAUCCUUCCCCCAAACAUAUCUUAUCAUAACUCUACCCACAUAAUUCUUCCCCGAACACAUCUUAUCAUAAUACUACAUUCAUAAACCUUUCCCCCAAACACAACUCAUCAUAACACCUCUUUUAUCAUAACUCCAACCCUUUGAUAAACCAACCCUUUUUCCAAACAGCCCCUAAGUGUUUGCAUGUCGUGACACAUGGAAACCACCCAAUGACAAGGCUCUAAACACCUAAGGCACUCCUUUAUUCGCCUAACCUCCAAACCAUCUCACAUAGCCUACACCUAACUCGCAUGAGUUAGUAGGUCGCAUGCCUCAACGCAUAGAGGAUCCCUUGACACUUCUUGUCACCUAGUUUUUCCCACAAAAACCUCUUCUCUCAUGCUUUCAAGCCCUUGGCCGCAUAGGCAUCUCGUCUAGUCCUUAUCUUGUCCGCAAGGCACAUCUAACUGUCUAGUAUGCCUUGCUUGGUCGCAUCUAACUGUCUAACUGUCUAGCUUUGUUCUUAGAGGUUAUUUAGACAACCUUGACCACUUAGUUUAACCUCAAAAUGCCUAAUAUCAUACAAAACACAUAAUAUCAUGCAAAAUGCCCCACCCAUACUUUGGCUAUCUACUUGACACUUUGCUAAUUUUUCCAAAUUUUCGUUCGUCCAACAACCAUAACACUCUUAUAAUGACACACUAAGAAUAAGAAACCAACGAUGACACUUAGGCCACUACCACAACUUAGUAAACCUUUUUUUAACCUUUUUUUGAACUACUACUUCAACUAAUCUUGAAUCUAGCUUAUCCAUUUGUUUGAUCGGAAGGCUAUAGUUCAAUGUUUACAAAUUUUUAGUUACAUUUAAAAAAAAAAAAAUUACAACCAUCUUGCAACUCCCAAAAUUGAAUUUUUAACUCCAAUAUAUGCAUGUUUUAGGCAUUUUAAAGAUAUAAACAUGUUUUAGCAAGUUUUUAGUUAUAAAAUUUUUUAACUCCAAAUCAAUUUUAAGCACGUUUUAGCUUAUGAUUUGUUUGUGAGAUAUUUGCGAUAUAGCUAAACAUUCAUUAAAACAUGUGUAAUUUCACCUUAAAUCACAUCUAAAUCACUUAAAACAAUUAUAGUAUGUAAUCGAGAUUUUAAAACUACUCUAAAUCACCUAAGCAAGCAUGACGUAUUUUUAAGUUUGAAAGUUGAGAGAUCUCUGUAAGAUGUUGCAAGAUUAAAAAAAAAAGUAUCUAAGAUCCUAUCUUAAUAUGUCUAAACUCAUCCUAAAUCACUUAAAACACAUAUAAGAAUGAUUUGGAAUUGGCUGUUUUCAAGUUUGGAAGUUGGAAACUUACUCCGAGAUAGUGUGAGAUAUUGCAAAAUAAAAUAAAAAACCACCUAAAAAAUAUUUACAACAUGAACAAAACAACCCAAAAUCAUAUAAAUGUUCCUACAAUUAAAAUGGUGGAAAGGGAAAGAAGGAGGACAAUUGUCAUUAAGAAAUUAAGGCAUGAGAACAAUUUUCGCAUUUCACUAUUUAUUUAUCCCAAAACUCGACUUUUUGAAAUGUUAUCCUACAACUUUUAGACUCCAUUGAAAAUGUCUUACUCUUAGUAAUUACCCAAUUUUCAUCGUCGUAUUGACAUUUUAAUAGAAUACUUUUAUAUAUUUUUUUUCAAGUUGGUGAAUAAACAUUUCCAUUAUAUUGUAAUUUUUUUUUAUUAAAAAACCAAUAAAAUAUCAAUUAUAUGUGUAUAAUAUAAAUAAUUAAAAUAUUUUUUAAAAAUAUAACAAUGAGGAAAAUUAUCAAUUUACACCCCUCAACUUUGGAUCAACUAGCCAAAAACUUCUAUAAAUGUAUCCAUUUAAAAACUUACAUGAUUCUAUUAAUUUAAACUCUCUCUUAUGUUUUAUUUAUAUACAUUUAUGAAAGUUGAAGAUUUAAAUUGAUAUAUUUACGAAAGCUUGGAGUUUUAAUUGAUACACUUAUAAAAGUUCAUAGUUUAAAUUGAUAUAAACUAUUAGAUUAGAGUUUAAAUUGAUACAACUAUACAAUUAUUAGUUCAACGUUUAAACGAGUACAACACAUAGUUGAGAAGUAUAAAUUGAUAUUUACCUUAGUAAAUAUUUUAACUUAUUCUUAAAAGCAUAGAAUACUUAUUUAUUAAUUAAAAUAAUUAAUAUGUUUAUUUUUUAGUGAUAUUUAUUGACAUUGAUAAUUUUCUUUUGUCUGAAGUUAAAAUUGUGACGUUUUCGCCAACAUUCAAAUUUAUUCAAAUAUUAAAAUAAACAGAGACUACGUCUUAAUAAACAGAUGCAAAAGUAAUAUAAAAACAAAUCGAUACUACAUCUUAACGAUGGGAUGCAAAAUUUAAAGAAUUAUAGUCAAUGAAAAGCAGUUAAAAAACUGAUAGUCACAUCUUAUACCAACAAAAUACAUCUUUUUUGAUACGAUAUUUUAGUCAUAAAAACUUCAAAGUUAUAAAUUGUUUGGUUUGGAGCAAUUUUAUAUUCGAUAAACACUUAAAAUAUUUUUAGGGAGCAUGUGAUGAACAUUGACAAAAACGUCUUGGAAAAAAUGCAACUUCAAACUUGAUCAAUUUGAAAUUUUAUCAUGCUUCCCAAAUUGUACAGGUUUUCUAUUCUAGUACACAUUCAAGUUUCAAAACUCAAAUGUAUGGUAAAAGGAAAAACAUAAUGAAAAAAAUGGAUUAUUUGAAAAAUAAAUAAAUUAAAAAGGUCUCUUACUCAACUGCGAAAAAGUAAACUAAAGAGUGGUAAGGUAUUCUUUUGUUACCUUUGAAACCAUUUUUGUUAUUUAACAAUUUUCAAUAAAUUUUUUUUUAAUUUAAUUUAUUAUUCAAAGUAGGUAUGGAUAUAUUUCUAAAUUAAUAAAAAUAUCUAUAGAUACUUGGAGGCUAAUUUUUCAAAAAAGAAACCAACAGCAAUGACUAUUUUAAGAUUUAUUGAAAUGACUGAUACUUUUGUAACUAAUAAUUAAAUAUAUAACAUUAUUUUAAAAAAUUACAAAUAAAUCAAAAUAUAUUUGGGUUAAAAUCUAUAAUUAAGAAAUUCUUAUUAGUAAUAGAUUUUUAUGGUUGAUAAACUUUAUAGAGUUAGAUUUCAAUUUUGCAAUAUCUACAAAUUCUUUGCAUUAUAUUAUAUUUUGGUAAUACAUCAGAGUUCGUUGGUAUAUUUGUCAUUGUUCACUUAAUAAAAAUAUAAAAAUUAAAAUGGACAUUUAAAACCAUAAAUCGAAAUAGAUAGUUGAAAACUAGUCUACGACUAACUUACUAUUUCUUUUUGAUUUGUUUACUAUUUCCUACCUAGACUAAAAUAGUUUGCACAACAAUAAAUUGAUAAGAACAUAUACUACACUUGAUCUUAAUCAAAAGGUCAAGAAAAGUCUACAUUUCAGAUGCAUACUAUUACCAUAACCUAUAAACUAUAAUAAAUUUGAACUAUAACAAUCAGUUCCAACACCCAUAAAAGAUAUUUAUAAAAAGAAAAAAAAAAUGCAUGUAUUAAAAGAAAAUAAAAGCUCAAUGAAAUAGUGACAGAGGAGGAUAAUGGAGAUGAGUUCUGCACGUGUUUGAACAAUUUAGCCACCAAGUAAUGAUUGUUUUCAAUCAGAAACAAGACUGAUAGAAAGAGUCUUAAGACAGAGCACUGUUGUUUUCAGACUCUAUAGGGAUACUAGACUUGAAGACUAUCUUUAGACUUUUGGGGAAACAUAAAUUGACACUAAAAAAUAGAAAAACAAACAAAAAAAAAGAAGAGUGGGGCUAUUCUUUUCUUUCUAUGUCAUUAGUUUUCCCUAUUGGAUCAUUUGCACAUGUGACCCUCUUCAAUACGAAAUCAUCCUCACCCUUCAUCUGUUCUUGACACGUACCACACAUAUCGACACUACCAAAUUCUGUUCCACCAAAACUUUAAUAAUAUAAUGCAUAUUGGGCAGAGAGUGGAAAAUUCAUCCCAUCUACUUAUUCCCCCAUUAAGGUUUUCUUUAGCCUAAGCUUCUCCCUACACAUUUUUAUAGUUGUUUUUUCACGUCGGUCUCAACUCUAAAGGAAUUUAUGCCUCGUUGACAUGUCAAGAAGUUGAGUUCAUAGCUAAUAGGUAAAGAAAACUUUUACUUUUGGUGUGUUCUGGUGAUCUGUUGGUGAGAAGUAUAAGUGGACUAGAGACUCUCAUACGAGUAUGGGAAAGAUUCUCGUCUCUUUCUUUUCCUCUUAUAUUUCGUUAUAUCCUCGUUUGUUCAAGUACAAUGUAACUGACAAAGUAAUGGUAAAGAACAAACCAAGCAGGGGAAAAUAGUUUUUUAAUCCAAUUUUCUAUACAUAGUUAACUACAUACUAAACUCUUUUUUCCCUCUUUUCUUUUUAAUAUUUUUGAAUUCUUAUUACGGUGUGAUUAGAGUGGGGUGCCAAGGUUCAAGUAUUGCUAUUCUUUUCCUCCUCAUUUUCUCAUUUUUUAGAACUCUCUUUUUUCUUUUUUUUUUUCAGAUUUUACUGACUUUUUUCUACAAAAUGGCGUUAAUAUAAAGCGGCUAUUCCCUGUCAUCCGAGUGCCCAAUAUCAGAGUGAAAUAGAAGCCCUUCCUUAUAUGUAUAUGUUUUCAUAUCCACAUGUAUUUACUAAUCAUGUAGCUCCUCUAGGCACAAUCCAGAGCAGUGAAAUGGAAGGGGAGGUAGUAAAGUCCAGGUUCAAAAGGGUUUGUGUGUUUUGUGGGAGCAGCACAGGAAAGAGGGACUGCUAUAGAGAUGCAGCCAUUGAUUUAGCUCAGGAGCUGGUACUGCUUUGAAAACCUCUCUUAAUAUCACCCAUUCACGAAAGCCAAUAUGUCUUUUUCACUUUCCCCCUUCCUCCCUUUCUACGUGUAUAUACAAUUAUGCUGUUGUUUCUCUAUGCAGGUUUCCAGAAGAUUGGGGCUUGUUUAUGGAGGUGGAAGCAUUGGGCUAAUGGGUCUGGUUUCACAAGCUGUUCAUCAUGGUGGCGGCAGAGUCAUGGGGUAAUUGAUCGAAAAAGCUUGAAUUUCUAUUCUGAAAAUGGUUUGAUGUUUCAAAGUUUUAAUUUUACAUCUGUUUGUUUAAUUUGUUUGGGUUUGGUUGAUUUGCAGUAUCAUUCCCAGGACAUUAAUGAACAAAGAGGUUAGAAAUAUGCCAAUAUCCUAAUUUGUUUUGGGUAAUUGAAAAUUCAAUCAGCCAACACUUAACUUGUUAUUCUACAAAAUGAUAAUUUCUUGGGGGAAAAAUUACAGAUAACUGGAGAAACAGUGGGGGAGACAAGACCAGUAGACAACAUGCACCAAAGGAAGGCAGAAAUGGCCCGCCAUUCAGAUUGCUUUAUAGCCCUACCAGGUCCCAACCAUUCCCUUUUCCCUUUCCUAUUCAGAAACACAAUCCCGCACUUCUUUUUUACAUUUCUUUUCAUAGUCCCCUUUUUAAAAAAGACCCCUGAUAAUGGGUUUCAUUUUCCCUUCACUGCACUGAUUUUCAGGUGGGUAUGGAACUAUGGAAGAACUGUUAGAAGUCAUCACAUGGGCUCAACUAGGCAUCCACGACAAACCAGUAAACUCUACAAAAAUUACCUCAUUAAACUCUGCCAGAAAGCUUUGUUUUGAUCUCACGACCUUUAAGUUUGUUGUGCAAUUUCUCUUCCUCAGGUUGGGUUGCUGAAUGUGGAGGGCUACUACAACAACCUCCUCACUUUCAUCGACCAAGCAGUGGACGAUGGUUUCAUAAAACCAUCACAACGCAAGAUCAUAGUGUCAGCACCCAACGCCAAGGACCUGGUUCAGAAACUAGAGGUCAGUCAUUAAGUCAGACAUUUCAUCGAACACAACUUCUAAAUUCUACGAUUAAAUUGUAAGCAGAGUAUUUGACUAAUGAUGAUCAUGGAUUGAUUUAUUUAGGAAUACGUGCCUGUACACGAGGAAGUGAUGGGCAAACCGAGAUGGGAAAUUGAGCAGCCACAGCCACAGCAACCGAAAAACCAAGUGGGGUUCGAACCCAAAACUUUCCACGCUCAGAUCGCCCUGUAAAGUUGAAACAUGAAAAGAAAGG
rnacentral:lncRNA from 1 species